GGAAGCAAAUUUUAUUGUCAUGGUUCAACAAAUGAAAUCUCAAUGACAAUUUAAGUUUAAUUUUCAUGAACUUAUGAGACAUAUUAUGAACAGUAAUGAGAUUACAACAUCUUUUCUGAUUUUUUCUUAUAGUUCUAUGGGAUUGGAGAACUAAGACCCUCUUGAGAAGACAAUGACCUGAGAGCAUGUUGUCUUUUUGAAUAAGAUAAAGAUGGUUUCCUCUUGAAUGACGGACGCCUUUUGAGUUGAUGCAUCGUUCUCUUGGCAUACAUUGAUCGGAAAAAUGGUGUAGCUCGUUCUUUUAGCUUGAGAAUAAUGAAGAAAAGAACCCUGUACAUCACGAUGAGGGAGUAUAAUGCAAGUAAAUCCCACCAUUUGGAGUGAUCCAACGACAAUUUGAACAUGUUCGUGAUCACAUCUUCCCCUUUUAGUUUCUCUCCGCCAGGAAUUAGUGGAUCAAAUACAAGCCCAAUCAUGUCAUUUUUGUAUGAUCCCUGUAAACCCCAUGCCCCGUAGCCAAUAAAUGAAAUUGGAUAGCGCCAAAUUGGCUUGGGAAGAUCUGGCAGUAGACGGAAGAAUCCAGCAGUCAUCAUCAUGAUUCCAAGCACACCAGCUCCUGUUAUGAUUCCCAUUAAGAAGUUUGGAACAAGUGAAGCUACAAUCAUCAUGCAGCUCUCAACAACAGCGAUACAACCAAAAAGAUUUAAGCAGAAAAACACAUAACGGAAGAAUCUAGCCCGAAACACCAUGUAAUAGGUGAUGGUUCCAGUGAGGAGUGAAACUGCAACUAAAAAUGGAAAUGAUGAGAGGAAGUUUGCCAAUACGAAAGCUGCAACGCCAUAGUGUCCGUUAAGCCUUUCUUUGGUAAAAACCUUCAUUUCUUCUAUGAAGGAUGGAAAGCCACCAAUGGACAUGAAAGUCAUGUAGCCGGUGACAAAUCCACCACAAGCUCCCCGAGCCAAGAUUGCUG
rnacentral:misc_RNA from 1 species